rnacentral:rRNA from 1 species
AGUGAACGCUGGCGGCGUGCUUAACACAUGCAAGUCGAACGGACUUUAAGGGGCUUGCUUCUUAAAGUUAGUGGCGCACGGGUGAGUAAUGUAUAGCUAACCUGCCCUUUAGUGGGGGACAACAGUUGGAAACGGCUGCUAAUACCCCAUACUCCUUCUUAUCAUAAGGUAAGUUGGGAAAGAUUUAUUGCUAAAGGAUGGGGCUUUAUGGUAUCAGCUAGUUGGUGGGGUAAAGGCCUACCAAGGCUAUGACGCCUACCUGGUCUGAGAGGAUGAUCAGGCACACUGGAACUGAGACACGGUCCAGACUCCUACGGGAGGCAGCAGCGGGGAAUAUUGCACAAUGGAGGAAACUCUGAUGCAGCAACGCCGCGUGGAGGAUGACGCAUUUCGGUGUGUAAACUCCUUUUAUAAGGGAAGAUAAUGACGGUACCUUAUGAAUAAGCACCGGCUAACUCCGUGCCAGCAGCCGCGGUAA